ACAUCAAGAGGUGUUGGGAUGGAAUAUCAGAAGUCAGCCGAGGCCGUAGUAGUGUUAUUAAACCGAUAAUAUGAAGGGC
rnacentral:ncRNA from 1 species